UCUCUGAAGAAAUCAGGCCUUAUAUUCUACAUCAUGAGUCUGAUCUUGGGGGACUCUAUUGGCCAAUAGUGAAGAUUGUGAGAAUCAAAGUCCCAGAUCACCAAGAGCUUCUACAGAACAUCGUGCUAGUUGACCUCCCUGGAAAUGGAGACUGUAAUCAAACCAGAGACGAGAUGUGGAAAUCAAUGUUAAGGGAGUGCACAUUUGUUUGGGUUGUGAGUGAUGUCAAUCGAGCCGCAUCUGACAAGGCAGCCUGGGAGAUCCUGAAGAGCAGCAUGACAGAUAUGGUACAGGGAGGGGCAUGCACUGGCAUCACUUUCAUCUGCACCAAAACUGAUAAUAUGAAUCCUCAGUCUUACAUGAGAUCA